rnacentral:lncRNA from 1 species
UACCGGUCACAUUAGUACCAAGCCUAACGGACAGUCCCCCGCGACCCCCUUUAGUACCGGGUAGGGGCUUCACCCUUUAGUACCAUGUGGAGCCCCCACCGGGUACUAAAUCCUUUUGUACCGAGGUCACCCUUUAGUACCGGGUGGAGCCCCACCUGGUACUAAACGGUUUCCAGUCCACGCACCGCGAGGACUUAGAUUUUUUUACGCACUACCUCCCCCCGC